rnacentral:rRNA from 1 species
AGAUUGAACGCUGGCGGCAGGCCUAACACAUGCAAGUCGAGCGGUAGAGAGGUGCUUGCAUCUCUUGAGAGCGGCGGACGGGUGAGUAAUGCCUAGGAAUCUGCCUAGUGGUGGGGGAUAACGUUCGGAAACGGACGCUAAUACCGCAUACGUCCUACGGGAGAAAGCGGGGGACCUUCGGGCCUCGCGCCAUUAGAUGAGCCUAGGUCGGAUUAGCUAGUUGGUGAGGUAAUGGCUCACCAAGGCGACGAUCCGUAACUGGUCUGAGAGGAUGAUCAGUCACACUGGAACUGAGACACGGUCCAGACUCCUACGGGAGGCAGCAGUGGGAAUAUUGGACAAUGGGCGAAAGCCUGAUCCAGCCAUGCCGCGUGUGUGAAGAAGGUCUUCGGAUUGUAAAAGCUACUUUAAGUUGGAAGGAAGGCAGUUACCUAAUACGUAUCUGUUUUGACGUUACCGACAGAAUAAGCAACCGGCUAACUCUGU